UUAAUUUUGUCUUUCCGUAAAUUUUUUUUUUUUUUUACUUUAAUGAAACUUACAAUAAUAUAUAUAGUAAUUGGCACCACAUAUUAAUUUAUUACUGUAUUUUUUUUUGCUUUUUGAUUAAAUGUCAAAUACUUAUUAUAGAUUGCCUAAUGACCAUGCCCAAAGGAAACAAUGGAUUUCAUUACUGGAAAUCAACACGAUUAAAAAGAACAUAUUUGUUUGUUCAGAUUACUUCCUUAGAAGUGAUUUCUUACAUGAGGGAGAUGAUAUUAUCAGUAGGACUUCUGGUACUUAUUGAAUUAGGUAUGUGUGUAAAAGUACUUUUUUACUAGGAUUUCUGAUGCAUUCUGAAUCAUUCAUCAUCAACGAUAACUGCAUCUGAGAUUAAUAGUUCUACAGUAACCGUGGCGUCUAGGUCAACAACUACUAUUUCUCAUCUAAGCCGUUUUAGUUCAACUGCUACACACUCCCUGACUCCGCCAAGAAAAAGACUUAGAGAUGUAGAGGUAUGCUUGGAGAAAGAUAAUAAUUUAAUAACAUUAAUAUCACCACCACACAAAAAGGUAAACUCAAAAUGGUAUCCUGGGGACCUAAGCACUGAUGAUUUCACCGUUUCAAUAUGUACAAACUAUGUAGCAACUUUAUUUUUUUUAAUAUUUAAUGCCUAAUUUAUAAGUUUCAUUACAUAUUUUAUUUGACUUGUAAAAGUGUGUAUUACUACUAAUAAACUAUUUAAUCUAAUGUA